UACGGAAGGCAGCAGUGGGGAAUAUUGCACAAUGGGCGAAAGCCUGAUGCAGCUAUGCCGCGUGUAUGAAGAAGGCCUUAGGGUUGUAAAGUACUUUCAUCGGGGAGGAAAAAACAAAACUAAUAAUUUUAUUUCUUGACGUUACCCGAAAAAGAAGCACCGGCUAACUCCGUGCCAGCAGCCGCGGUAAUACGGAGGGUGCUAGCGUUAAUCAGAAUUACUGGGCGUAAAGAGCACGUAGGUGGUUUUUUUAAAGUCAGAUGUGAAAUCCCUGGGCUUAACCUGGAAACUGCAUUUUGAAACUGAAAUACUAGAGUAUCGUAGAGGGAGGUAGAAUUCUAGGUGUAGCGGUGAAAUGCGUAGAUAUCUGGAGGAAUACCUGUGGCGAAAGCGGCCUCCUAAACGAAUACUGACACUGAGGUGCGAAAGCGUGGGGAGCAAACAGGGAUUAGAUACC
rnacentral:rRNA from 1 species